AGUGAACGCUGGCGGCAUGCCUAACACAUGCAAGUCGAACGGCAGCACAGUAAGAGCUGGCUCUUACGGGUGGCGAGUGGCGGACGGGUGAGGAAUACAUCGGAAUCUACUUUUUCGUGGGGGAUAACGUAGGGAAACUUACGCUAAUACCGCCUACGACCUACGGGUGAAAGCAGGGGAUCUUCGGACCUUGCGCGACUGAAUGAGCCGAUGUCGGAUUAGCUAGUUGGCGGGGUAAAGGCCCACCAAGGCGACGAUCCGUAGCUGGUCUGAGAGGAUGAUCCGCCACACUGGAACUGAGACACGGUCCAGACUCCGACGGGAGGCAGCAGUGGGGAAUAUUGGACAAUGGGCGCAAGCCUGAUCCAGCCAUGCCGCGUGGGUGAAGAAGGCCUUCGGGUUGUAAAGCGCUUUUGUUGGGAAAGAAAAGCAGCAGGUGAAUACCCCGCUGUUCUGACGGUACCCAAAGAAUAAGCACCGGCUAACUUCGUG
rnacentral:rRNA from 1 species